rnacentral:rRNA from 1 species
CAGCAGCCGCGGUAAAACGAAGGGUGCAAGCGUUAAUCGGAAUUACUGGGCGUAAAGCGUGCGUAGGCGGUUUGUUAAGUCUGUUGUGAAAUCCCCGGGCUCAACCUGGGAAUGGCAAUGGAUACUGGCAAGCUAGAGUGUGUCAGAGGAUGGUGGAAUUCCCGGUGUAGCGGUGAAAUGCGUAGAGAUCGGGAGGAACAUCAGUGGCGAAGGCGGCCAUCUGGGGCAACACUGACGCUGAGGCACGAAAGCGUGGGGAGCAAACAGGAUUAGAUACCCGCGUAGUCCCUGUCUCUUAUAC